rnacentral:tRNA from 1 species
GGUGACGUGUCCGAGCGGCCGAAGGUACAUGUCUCGAAAACAUGUGUGGUUGAAAGACCACCGUGGGUUCAAAUCCCACCGUCACCGCCA